rnacentral:rRNA from 4 species
GGCGGCCAUAGCGCGGUGGACCCACCUGAACCCAUGCCGAACUCAGAAGUGAAACGCCGUAGCGCCGAUGGUAGUGUGGGGUCUCCCCAUGCGAGAGUAGGACACUGCCAGGC